GCAAGUCGAGGGGUAACAGAGUAGCUUGCUACUGCUGACGACCGGCGCACGGGUGCGUAACGCGUAUACAAUCUACCUUAAACUGGAGAAUAGCCCUAAGAAAUUGGGAUUAAUGCUCCAUAGUAAUAUAUCAUUGCAUAUUGAUAUGUUUAAAGUUUCGACGGUUUAAGAUGAGUAUGCGUCCUAUUAGCUAGAUGGUAAGGUAACGGCUUACCAUGGCAACGAUAGGUAGGGGGCCUGAGAGGGUUAUC
rnacentral:rRNA from 1 species